CAGUAGCCGCGGUAAUACGAAGGGGGCUAGCGCUGCUCGGAUUUACUGGGCGUAAAGGGCGCGUAGGCGGACAGUUAAGUUGGGGGUGAAAGCCCGGGGCUCAACCUCGGAAUUGCCUUCAAUACUGGCUGUCUUGAGUGUGAGAGAGGUGUGUGGAACUCCGAGUGUAGAGGUGAAAUUCGUAGAUAUUCGGAAGAACACCAGUGGCGAAGGCGACACACUGGCUCACUACUGACGCUGAGGCGCGAAAGCGUGGGGAGCAAACAGGAUUAGAUACCCGAGUAGUCCCUGUCUCUUAUAC
rnacentral:rRNA from 1 species